UCAACUAAAACCAAAUUAGAGGUAUUCCACUGUUAAUGGUAUCAUUGAAAUUAUAUUUCUAGUUGAG
rnacentral:tRNA from 1 species